rnacentral:rRNA from 1 species
UGGGGAAUUUUGGACAAUGGGCGCAAGCCUGAUCCAGCCAUGCCGCGUGCGGGAAGAAGGCCUUCGGGUUGUAAACCGCUUUUGUCAGGGAAGAAAUCUUCUGAGUUAAUACCUCGGGAGGAUGACGGUACCUGAAGAAUAAGCACCGGCUAACUACGUGCCAGCAGCCGCGGUAAUACGUAGGGUGCAAGCGUUAAUCGGAAUUACUGGGCGUAAAGCGUGCGCAGGCGGUUUUGUAAGACAGAGGUGAAAUCCCCGGGCUCAACCUGGGAACUGCCUUUGUGACUGCAAGGCUUGAGUGCGGCAGAGGGGGAUGGAAUUCCGCGUGUAGCAGUGAAAUGCGUAGAUAUGCGGAGGAACACCGAUGGCGAAGGCAAUCCCCUGGGCCUGCACUGACGCUCAUGCACGAAAGCGUGGGGAGCAAACAGGAUUAGAUACCCUGGUAGUCCACGCCCUAAACGAUGUCAACU